rnacentral:ncRNA from 1 species
UAUUUAUAACACCGAGCUAUCACAGCUAACAUUGUUUUAUUUUUUGGCUAAAUUAAGCCAACUUACUCGAAACAUUCAUGUUGUGACAUGCCGUAACUAAACCCAUGUAUUUAAUGGUUUUAGUUGCCAGGGUUAACAAGGAAACGCGUUAGCCUCCCUACAUUUGGAAAGGUGACAUGUUAA